rnacentral:rRNA from 1 species
GAUGAACGCUGGCGGCGGGCCUAACACAUGCAAGUCGAGCGAACAGACGAUGAGAUCGUUCUCUUGCCGUUAGCGGCGGACGGGCGGGUAACAAGUGGAUAACCAACUUAUUUUUCUGGGAUGAUUACGGAGAACAGGUGAUAAUACUGGCUAAUAUAUUGUACCGCAUGGUUCAAUAGUGAAUCACGGUUUUGCCGUUACUAAUAGACGGUUCCGCGCCGGAUUAGUUAGUUGGUAAGGUAACGGCUUACCAAGGCGACGAUGCGUAGCCGACCUGAGAGGAUGAUCGGCCACACUGGAACUGAGACACGGUCCAGACUCCUACGGGAGGCAGCAGUAGGGAAUCUUCCGCAAUGGGCGAAAGCCUGACGGAGCAACACCGCGUGAGUGAUGAAGGUCUUCGGGUCGUAAAACUCUGUUAUUGGGAAAGAACAAAAGUAUAAGUAACUCUGCACGUCUUGACGGUACCUAAUCAGAAAGCCACGGCUAACUACGUG